CCUACGGGAGGCAGCAGUGGGGAAUAUUGCACAAUGGGGGAAACUCUGAUGCAGCGACGCCGCGUGAGUGAAGACGGAUUUCGGUAUGUAAAGCUCUAUUAGUAGGGAAGAAAAUGACGGUACCUGUUUAAGAAUCCCCGGCUAACUACGUGCCAGCAGCCGCGGUAAUACGUAGGGGGCAAGCGUUAUCCGGAUUUACUGGGUGUAAAGGGAGCGUAGGCGGCAGGACAAGUCUGGAGUGAAAUGCCUGGGCUUAACCCCGGAACUGCUUUUGAUACUGUGCAGCUAGAGUGCAGGAGAGGUAAGUGGAAUGCCUGGUGUAGCGGUGAAAUGCGUAGAUAUUAGAAAGAACACCGGUGGCGAAGGCAGCUUACUGGACUGUAACUGACGUUGAGGCUCGAAAGCGUGGGGAGCAAACAGGAUUAGAUACCCGAGUAGUC
rnacentral:rRNA from 1 species